rnacentral:rRNA from 1 species
GAUGAACGCUGGCGGCGUGCCUAAUACAUGCAAGUCGAGCGAACAGAUAAGGAGCUUGCUCCUUUGACGUUAGCGGCGGACGGGUGAGUAACACGUGGGUAACCUACCUAUAAGACUGGAAUAACUCCGGGAAACCGGGGCUAAUGCCGGAUAACAUUUAGAACCGCAUGGUUCUAAAGUGAAAGAUGGUUUUGCUAUCACUUAUAGAUGGACCCGCGCCGUAUUAGCUAGUUGGUAAAGUAACGGCUUACCAAGGCAACGAUACGUAGCCGACCUGAGAGGGUGAUCGGCCACACUGGAACUGAGACACGGUCCAGACUCCUACGGGAGGCAGCAGUAGGGAAUCUUCCGCAAUGGGCGAAAGCCUGACGGAGCAACGCCGCGUGAGUGAUGAAGGUCUUCGGAUCGUAAAACUCUGUUAUUAGGGAAGAACAAAUGUGUAAGUAACUGUGCACGUCUUGACGGUACCUAAUCAGAAAGCCACGGCUAACUACGUG